UGCGGCUCUAUCACAUUAAAACACCGGUUCUCGAACGAUAACCGAAGUUAAGUAAAGUUGAGCCUGGUUACUACCUAGAUGGGUGAACGCUUGGGAUGACUAGUUGCUGUAAG